GAUACAGUGGCCGAGUGGUUUAAGGUGCUGACUUAAGGCGUCAGUCUGAAUGGGCAUGAGUUCGAAUCUCAUCUGUAUCA
rnacentral:tRNA from 1 species